UGGCGGUGAGGGAAAAACGCCUCCGCUUCGCCCAGGCUCAGCCUCUGGGCUCCCAGCAGAGCACGACGUUGGCCACACCGGGCAGCAGGGCCUGGGAUCCCCAGCCUCUGGGGUCAGGUCUGCCCCAGGAGCCGCGCUUGGCGAGGGGGUCUGGGGGCUCGCGGGCCCAGCACCUCACAUGCCCCGAGAGGCUGGGAAGGGAGGCGUGCCUGGGCACGUGAGACGGAAGUCUGCAGCCCUCCGGCCAAAUACGUGGGGAGCUGACUUCAUUCGCGCAGAGACGAACCGGCAGGAAGGUCAUGACCUAAGUGGACGAGGAACUGAUGGCAGCCGGAGGGGAAAGGCAUCCGGGCCUCUUCCUGGGACCCAGCAGGGAAGGGGCACGUGAGGGGGCGGCCUGAGCUGCGUGCCUCUCGCUGCGGGGGCCUGUCCUCCCGGCUCCCGAACAAGCCCCACCUCCUCAGGUCCCCAUUCCUAACCUGGAGCCUGAAAAUCAACAACACCGUGGGUUCCCAGGACAUCAACCUCAUCAGAGCUUUUUCCUCCCAGCACCAAGGACCUCACUUGGCCCUUGGGACGGCGGAGUGAUCAUGGGCCGCAGCUCUGGGCCCAGACCGCUGCAGAAUUACAUGGCUGCUCCGGAAAUGCACGUGGGCUGGGGGGACA